rnacentral:ncRNA from 2 species
UCCCGAAUCAGGCCAGGAAGCUCCGGCAUCCUGUAGACUGCGGCGUACAUCCAGCCGGCUGCCUGAUUCACCGCUUUGAGAUGUACGGAGCUUAAGAGC